rnacentral:piRNA from 1 species
UCAACUAACGAACAGUAGCCAAACCAGAGAGC